rnacentral:misc_RNA from 1 species
GGAAAUAAAAGUCGUAACAAGGUUUCCGUAGGUGAACCUGCGGAAGGAUCAUUACUGAGUGAGGGUUCUCUCUAUGAGCCCAACCUCCCACCCGUGUUUACCUGUACCUAGUUGCUUCGGCGAGCCCACUGGGGAUAUCGUCCCUGGUCGCUUGGGAAGGAGGAAGCUCCAGCCCGGGCCUGUUGCUCGCCGGAGGUCUGAACUACGAAUCCUGAUAUCGAAUCGAAUUGAGUCUGAGUUAAUGAUGUAAAUCGUUAAAACUUUCAACAACGGACCUCCUGGUUCCG